UACAUAACUCCACCUGUAGCUCCUCAGGGGCUACUGCCGGUCAUAAGCCCGGAUAAAGGAGGAGGGUUGGG
rnacentral:ribozyme from 2 species